rnacentral:lncRNA from 1 species
CACGAUGGGAAAGAGAGAGUUGGGACCCGCAGGAGGGGGCAGGGCACUGACCCGGUGCCGCCCAGCAGGGCAGCGUCUCCUGGCUCAGACCAGUGCUAGAAGUGUCCAGUCUAGCAGCUCCUGGACCAAGACUCCGUGGCCAUUCCCUUCCUCCUGCCUUCCAUCCACCCCCUUACGAUACAGAAGUUGAGAUACAGAGAGGUGAAGGAACUUGUCCCAGGCCCUACAGCUAGUAAGUGAUGGACCUGGAAUUUAAGCCCAGAUCAAAAAAAAAAAAAGAGAGAGAGAAAAUUCAUUACCAGUGGACGUUCUGUAAGCAGAAGAAAUAUGAUACCUGAGAGAAACUUGGAUCUACAUAAAGAAAUGAUGAUCUCUGGAAACAGAUAGAAUAAAGGUCCUGAGUUCUUGACCAGCAUCCGUGAAGAAUGAGGUUACACAGACAACUGGAAGGUGAGCAAGGCAGAGAACAGCUUUAUCGGCUGACCAAACAGCUCUCAGAGGAGAGGAGACCCAAAGUGGGUAGCUCCUAUCUGCAGGCAGGUAGUCCCAACGAGUCCAUGAAUCUGGCCGGGUCAGGAAAAAGCACCAUCUGAUUGGCCAAAAGGCAUCAAGGAAGUUCUCACUUUAGGUAGUGGACUCCACACAGAACUGGAGGCCUGGCUGUCAGGCUUCAGGUCAUCCCUGGCUUGAAGGUGGGGUUUCACCAAGGACCCACCCCUUCCCACCUAGGAACCUGUCUGCCUCCUGCCACCAUUAGUUUACCUAUGUGACCCGCAGGAUAUGCCAGAAAUGAUGGUAUGUCACUUCUAAAAUUCAAAUUAAAAAAAAAAAGACUACAGCUUCU